rnacentral:lncRNA from 1 species
GUAACUGAAAGAGCUGAAGCUACAAGGAAGCGAGCAUGGCCCUCCCUCUCGCUCCCUCUCCGCUACCCCCACGGCACGGGCUGGAGAGAUUUAGCAUCCUGUACAGACUCUGACUAAAAGACCAAAGGACGCGUGACGCACACCACCUUGCAAGUCUGAGGAUGUCCGUGGAGCCGAGGGAGUGAGCUGGGUCUGCUGCGCAGCACUGAUCUGCAACGGGAUGCUCCUAUGUGCUUUGCAACGCUUUGCCGCUAGUGGAGGUGCCGGCUUGCAGCAAACUGCCCUACAGCCCCGAGGCCUUGCUGGCACUACGAUCUGCGUGUGCAAGUACUCUGCCACGGUGUUGCGAACCUUCCUGAAGGGGUUUCUGAACUGGAGAUGCAGUCCUCACACCCAGUUAGCAGCAUGAAACCAGCUUUUGAAAAAGCAUCCUUCUCCAAGGAAGGGGCUGUGUGUGAACAGAGCUGGAAACCCCUGUGUUGGACCAGCUCGCUCGAGGGCCAGUGUGUUUUCUGGCAUUACCAAUAAAUGCACGCACCUUGCACCAGCCAAAUACAAAUGUUGUACCCUCAAGCCAGCAAGGAUGUUUGCUCCCAGCGGCCGAUGGAAACACAGGGAGCUUCUGCAGUGAGUUUGGCAGUCGAACUACGGGGGCAGAGCACUGCAAGAGUGUCUAUACCCUGGGCCACUGUGGUGGUUUCCCUUGCUGCUGUAAACAAUGCUCUCGCUGCAAGCUGCAAAUAUGUAGCUCAGAAGCACUCUGUAAAUAGUCCUGUAACACUACGAAGAAAGAAAUGCAGCCUGAACUGCCGUGCCAACAAACCAGGAAAUUCAGGUGCUCCCGGAGCAGCAACCAGUUUCCCCAGCUCCAGAUUCCCAAAGCUGUGACACGAUGUGUGAAACAGCCCUGCUGCCCUGGGCCUUGUUUUGGCAAAUAUUUUUGCAGUUGAAAUCCACCUCCUGUUUAACAGUGUGCCCUUUGGCUUCGGUAAACAAACGGCUCAGGUGCAGAAAUCAUUCAAAUUAGCUGACUUUCCUCUGGCACGGUCUGAAAGCCUCAUCUGUCUGCCUCUCUAUGAGAAAUCAGUGCUGAUAUCACAGCCAGGGAGGAAAACCUACUGAAAAAUAAUGAACACUUUUUUUUUUCUUUUUUUUUUUUUCCAAACUGCUGGUUUUGUGAAAAGGCUUUAUGAGUGUUUUAAAAUGUGUCUGGGAGCUGAAGUAAGUAGACAGAGUUGGGGAGUAGGAAAGAUCUGCUACCAAAUGUGAAAAGGAGAGACCUGAAACUACAAAGAAAGCCUUUUUUCAUGUUUUUCUUUUUGGGAUUUGGGAAUGGGGAAAGGUGGGGAUUUGCUGGUUUGGCAUUUUAAUGGGAGAUUCUUCUUUCAGCCUACCAUGGUUUUGUAGGCUAGUCAGUAACUGGAGAAUUGUUUCUCAAAGCUGGUGGGUAACAUGGGUGAAGGAAGGAAAAUGGAUCAUGCUUUUCCAUUUUGGGUUCCUUGCACGUGGUGUGGGGUAGAAUUUGAGAUACCCUUUAUGAAGAAUGCCUAAUUUGCAGGAAAAAAAAUCAAAUACCCCACUCCUCUGGAAGUUGGUUUCUUUUAGAGGCACCUAAAAUUAUAUUCUCCAAACUACUUAUCUGGGGGAGGAUAAUGCUUCCUUGAUGGUUCUUACCAUUGCUACCUACAUGUUGCCUUGCACUUUCCAUUAAUUCAAGUACAGAAUAAAAGCUUUCCAAGCAAAUCUCA